rnacentral:rRNA from 1 species
UGGGGAAUAUUGGACAAUGGGCGCAAGCCUGAUCCAGCCAUGCCGCGUGAGUGAUGAAGGCCCUAGGGUUGUAAAGCUCUUUCACCGGUGAAGAUAAUGACGGUAACCGGAGAAGAAGCCCCGGCUAACUUCGUGCCAGCAGCCGCGGUAAUACGAAGGGGGCUAGCGUUGUUCGGAUUUACUGGGCGUAAAGCGCACGUAGGCGGACUAUUAAGUCAGGGGUGAAAUCCCGGGGCUCAACCCCGGAACUGCCUUUGAUACUGGUAGUCUUGAGUUCGAGAGAGGUGAGUGGAAUUCCGGGUGUAGGGGUGAAAUUCGUAGAUAUUCGGAGGAACACCAGUGGCGAAGGCGGCUCACUGGCUCGAUACUGACGCUGAGGUGCGAAAGCGUGGGGAGCAAACAGG